rnacentral:snoRNA from 1 species
CAACAUGAUGAUCGCAUUUAAUGGGAAUCUCUCUGAUAUCCAUGAGGAGAAACUCUGCAUCUUAUCUCGUAAAAGCCUGAAC